rnacentral:rRNA from 1 species
UAGAGUUUUUUAAGUUUUUCCCUGGCUCAGGACGAACGCUGGCGGCAUGCCUAAUACAUGCAAGUCGACCGAGCUUCCGUUGAAUGCCGGGCUUGCAUUGAUUUUAGCAAUGAAGCGAGUGGGGAAGGGUGGAGUACCAGUUGGGAAAUCUUCCCAGAAGCAGGGGAUAACACUGGGAACCAGGUGCUAAUCCGGUAUAACAACAAAAUCGCCAUGGAUUUGGUUUGAAAGGGGGUUUUGGCUAUCACUUCUGGAUGAUCCCGCGGUGUAUUAGCUAGUUGGUGGGGUAAAGGCCCACCAAGGCGAUGAUACGUAGCCGACCUGAGAGGGUAAUCGGCCACAUUGGGACUGAGACACGGCCCAAACUCCUACGGGAGGCAGCAGUAGGGAAUCUUCCACAAUGGACGAAAGUCUGAUGCAGCAAUGCCGCGUGAGUGAAGAAGGGUUUCGGCUCGUAAAACUCUGUUGUUAAAGAAGAACACCUUUGAGAGUAACUGUCAAGGGUGACGGUAUACCAGAGACCUCCG